GAUGAACGCUGGCGGCGUGCCUAAUACAUGCAAGUAGAACGCUGAAGGAAGGAGCUUGCUCUUUCCGGAUGAGUUGCGAACGGGUGAGUAACGCGUAGGUAACCUGCCUGGUAGCGGGGGAUAACUAUUGGAAACGAUAGCUAAUACCGCAUAACAGUAGAUGUUGCAUGAUAUCUACUUAAAAGGUGCAAUUGCGCCACUACCAGAUGGACCUGCGUUGUAUUAGCUAGUUGGUGAGGUAACGGCUCACCAAGGCGACGAUACAUAGCCGACCUGAGAGGGUGAUCGGCCACACUGGGACUGAGACACGGCCCAGACUCCUACGGGAGGCAGCAGUAGGGAAUCUUCGGCAAUGGACGGAAGUCUGGCCGAGCAACGCCGCGUGAGUGAAGAAGGUUUUCGGAUCGUAAAGCUCUGUUGUAAGAGAAGAACGAGUGUGAGAGUGGAAAGUUCACACUGUGACGGUAUCUUACCAGAAAGGGACGGCUAACUACGUG
rnacentral:rRNA from 1 species